CCCCCACCCCACUAGAGGAGAAGAAUUGCCUGGUGUAUGUAGAAGCAGGAAACUGGCAUCAAUGCUGCAGAGUGAAGGCCAACCCUGACAUGAUACAGAUGUUCAAAUUAUGAAAAGAAAUAAAAAAAAGAGAGGGCUAGUGGUGUUGCAGCUGGUUAGGCACACACCUUACCAAGUGCAAGAACCCAGGAUUGGGUGCCACUAACCUGCCAGAAAGCCUUAUUAUUGACAUACUAAGCUGAUAAUGAAGAUGAGAAAUUAAGGAGGAAUUUGUUUGGGAUAAGUAAUUAAAAAUGAUCCCAUUCUAAUGCAGUAAAUAAUUGUAAAAAGAGCACACAAUGUACAAGGAACAUGCAGACAGGAAUUCAUUGCAUUCCAGGCACAGGAAUGUAUAAGACCAUCUUCCUCUUUACUUUGUCAACUCUUUUCAUGGGCACAUGCUAGGGCAGGGUCUCCUGUCAGAUUCAUGGACACAGAGACACAGACACAGCCUUCUUUGCACAGAAGGUCCAGGAGAAGGCCCAUGUGUCAUCUUCUACAGUGAGGUGGGUCUCUUCAUGGUCAGCCUGGACCUAGAUUGGAGUUUCUCUACAUGUAGGUGUCAAACAUCUGCAUAAACAUGAAGGGUCAAAUGCCAGCCACUGAGGGGCUUCCACUAGAAGUAGAUGACUCCCAUUGCCUCGCAUAUGGAGACCAGCUGGGUUCCUGUACAUGCCUCCUUCCACGUGAUAUUUCCUUUCUGAAACAAACUCAUGACACUGAAAGUCAAUCCCAAGGUGGGGGCAGGAUUGGCAGGGACCCAGUAGCCCCACAGAAAACCAUGCACAUCUCCAAGGAAGCCACAGCUCCCUUGCCAUGCUCUGGCUACAUCCUGUGGUCACGAUGGGCUCAUCACGACCACUUCAGCCUGAACCUAUGUUUGGAUUUCUCUCCAUACAGAUGGUGAAUAUCACCAUGAAUAUGGAAUGGCUCCACUACAGGUGACUGAGGAGCAAUCACAGGAACAGGAAAUCACUGGCUUGGCUUCCAGCCACCAGGAGUCCUUCCUGUUGGAGCAGCUAUUUGAGGACACUCCAGGUCUCUGGACUGGGGGUGACUCUACCUGGACCCUGAGUAGCUCUGUUGACAGAGGCCACCAUAAGAGCAUCUUGGUGGCUGUGGACUAGAGGGAUGACACUGACACCACCCUCCAUGAUGUGGAAAGCAUCUGGCAGAGCUCUGUGUUCAACUGUCUGCACAGUGCUCCCUCAUGGCUGCCUCUGUUGGAGCUCAGGACUGAAUACCUGAUGGGCUGUGGGGACAGGGCCACCCACAAGCUGUCACUCUACAACUAUGCCCUGAGCCACCCCAUCAUCCCCGUGAACCUGGCAGUGGAGGACAUCAUGGACUGUGUCUAUCUGCUCCACCAGAAGGAGAAGGCCACCAGCACUCAGUUCUGCUGCAUCAUGGCUGUGCUGUGCACCGGCAACCACACAGAGCUUAACAAGGAAGACAGGGAGGAGUGAGGCCCUCCAUCUUGGUCCCGUUACUGCUAGAGGCAUGACAAGAAGACAGCCUGCUAAUUCCUAUUCGGGAGAGUGACACCUCCAGAAAGGCUCAGUGAUGGACCAUCUCAGGCCUCUCUCUAUGGGAUCCAGAGAGCCCCCUGUCUACACCCUGCUCAGCUGAUAAGGGCUCAGGGAUCCUCUCAGCACCUUGCUGGGGGCUCCCCUGGCAAAUCUGCAAUCACUGAGGCCACCUGGGCGUCUGCUGGAAUGCCUACAGCCAGCUUCCCCUUUGUAGAACUGACCCUUUCUUUUCCCUGUUACUUUAUGAUAUCCAACUGACAACAAUUAUUCUCUUAAUCCUUUGCAGGAUUUUAACUUAGUCCUCAGUCCUGCCAUCUAUGUGGAAACUUGCUGGUGGAAGACAUGAAGCCCUCUGAUUAACACAGUUCUUUUAAACUUUUUGUCUAAUGGGGUCACAAUGAAAAAUGUCAACAUUCCACAUCCAGCUCAUUUCAUUUGAGGCAUCUUCCCUGAUCCCUUCUUACAUCCUGGUUUGAAGGUCUCUUCAAAGUUAUCUCUCUUAUUCCUUUCACUGUAUGUAUGUAGUUAUAGUCUUUUACUGUAUUUUCUUGUUGAUUGUAUUGCUAUAAUAAAUAUCACUCCCUGACUCUGUGCCUUA